UUGGUUCCAAAGGAAUUUAUUGCUGUAUGUUUUACAACUGAGCUGAGAAACAGGCUCUGUCCCAGUGGGAAUGUUAUGCAAGAAAUAAGAAGAAUCAUUAUCCUUGCACAUCAUACAAAAAAAAAUAAAUGCAUCAAAUAAGUGCAUGCUCUAAAUUGCCGCACGCACAGAUCCCCCCCCAUCUGAACAGCACCGCAGCAGAGCUACGAGUGCGAAGGAUUUAAAUGGUUGCUCUUGUAAAUACACUUUCGUCGGCGCUUUCCUUUCGCUCCGUCGAAAAACAAGUUAACUGCACGUCGCACUUAGUAUGCGCAAAUCCAAACUCCGCCUCGAAUGAUUCCACAGGCGGAGAUGUGACGCGACAAAGAGCGAGCUCGUUUUCUGUAUGCGAUGACAUCACCAGCAGCCAAGCCAGCAGCAGUAGUCGUCCUCAUGCCGUGGAGCAACAGCACACGAACGCACGACGGAUAGGGUGAUGACCAUUGUUUUGGCAUGAAGUUAAUGCAAUUUGGAACGUUAUUUUCAAAAACAUUUUUUGGCUAAACUACAAAAGAUAGAGUUUUGGUGUCAAAGAAACAUUUUUAGGGAACAAGUUCGUGCAUGUUUUGUAGAAGAACUUUUUUAACAAAAGCUUUAUUUUCAUAUUUAAAUCAUCAAAAAUGUCCAAAAAAGAGUAGAUUUUUUCGACCAAUUUUGCAUUAUUUUCAAUUUAAGGCCUUUUAAACUAUUUUUACAAAGUUUACGUCCAAGAGACUAAGAAAGUAGAAGUAAUUAGCUUUCAAUUCGUGCGCUGAGAAAGUUUGUACGAUUGAUAGUUUAGUAGAUAUAGGACUUCAAAGAUAACCAAAAAUUAAAAACCUAAAAUGUGAUUAACUCACUUAGCAGUGAUUUCCGACCCUAUGUUCCAUGGGAACUUUUUCAUCUCUCAUCAAGACCUAUCAUCCCUGAAAAUAUCCAAAACCCGGAACCAAACACCCUGUAUAAAUAAAAAUGGAAUGGUGUUUGUAUGUCACGAAUAGGCUCGAGAAUGGACCAACGGACCUACACCAUUCUUUCAGAGUUUCAUUCGUGCAGGGCUCCGACGUGUUCGUACGGAAAAAUAAUUGAAAAAAAUCGACCGGGAAGUUACCGAAAACGAGAAAGUUUGAAAUUCCAUUUUACGGGGCAUUUUUCUACAGAGCUGCAUGUCAAAAAACACAGUAGGCAGCUAGGUAGGCAGGCAACAGGGCACUGCGUGAAAUUCUCUCCUUCUCUUUCACUCUUACAGAAAUUUUGUAAACAACAAGGCCACGAAACUUCAAAAUCCCAUACAAAAUCAAAACAGUGCAGUGCCCUAUACAAAGGCAAUACGACGUUUGCCGGAACAGCUAGUAAAUAAAAAACUUUCAAACACGACCUCUAAAUUUGAUCUCCAAGAACUUCCGCGAGUAGAGGCCUGAAGAUCUACAAAAACAACCAAUGGUUUCUUGCUACAUUACCGAUGCGUUGUAAUAUCCCAGAGGUCUAUUGAGCAUUGUAGUGAAGAGUGUUCUUUUCUAAAGAUAUGCUAGGUCUUCCAUGAGCUUCCGCUAGUUAAGGCCUUAAGAUCUACAAGUGUACUCAAUAGAUUAUUCUUACAUGACGAUACGAUGCAACAUCCUACAGAUCCAUGGACUAUGGUUCUGUAGAGAACUACUUUCCAAAGAUGAAGGUCCUCCAAGAACUCCCACGAGUAAAGGCCUUGAGUUCUAUAUACGUAACCAAUGGUUUGUUGUUAUGUUACUGAUACGUUGUAACAUCCUAUAGGUCCAUGAACUAUUUUUCUGUAAGGAACUAAUUUCCAAAGAUGUUCUAGGUCCUCAAAGAACUUCCACGAGUAAAGAUCUGACGAUCUACAAGCGUAAUAUAUGAUCUUGUACCGACUUUUCGAACCCUCUAAGCAGAAUACCCUCUUUGAAUGAGUGUAAUCAGUUUCGUACCUUUUAAUUCCGCCCUAUGUUGCUUAUCCUUUGACAGAUACGCGUAUUUCGACUACCACUUGUAAUCUUCCUCAGUGUCAGUUAUCCACUCGAGUGGUAGUCGAAAUUCGUAAUAUAUGGUUUGUUGCCACAUUACUGAUACAAUGUAGCGUCCUACAGGUCCAGGGUGCAUAGUUCUGUAGAGAAAUAAUUUCCAGCGAUGACCUAGGACCUCCAAGAACUUCCACGAGGAAAAGUCUUAAGAUCUAGAAGCGCAAUCAAUGGAUUGUUGUUACAUUUCUAAUACGUUGUAGCAUCCUACAGGUCCAUGAACCAUUUUUUCUGUAAGGAUCUAAUUUCCAUAGAUGUUUUAAGUCCUCCAAGAACUUCCACGAGUAAAGACUUGAAGAUCUACAAGCGUUAUCGAUGGUUUGUUGCCACAUUACUGAUACAAUGUAGCGUCCUACAGGUCCAGGGAGCAUAGUUCUGUAGAGAAAUAAUUUCCAAAAAUGAUCUAGGACCUCUACGAACUUCCAUGAGUUAGGCCUUAAGAUCUACAAGCGUAAUCAAUGGAUUGUUGUUACAUUUCUAAUACGUUGUAGCAUCCUACAGGUCCAUGAACCAUUUUUCUGUAAGGAACUAAUUUUCAUAGAUGUUCUAAGUCCUCCAAGAGCUUUCGGCUGUUCGGGCCCGUAUGAAGUUGAUCAUCAAUAUUAACUUGUUUUCUCGAUCAGCCUAGAUAGCUGUGUAGUGUCGGUAGCGAUUGUCUCAAUUAGCUAAGAAUAACACUACGGACCGCCUGUUCCGGUGGUAAGAGUCCACCAACAGAUGACCCCUAAUUCUUGGUGUGAUGCGGCUUCAUGCUUAUCGUGCCUAGGAAUGAAUGGCUAGGGGGGUCUAAUAAAAACCUAACCGCUAACGGAGCCUUUGAAGUACCCAGGGCGCCCUCCACAGUAUGUUGCCCUUACUGCGCUAACCGGAGCAAUGGUGCAGUGGACCUUGUGUUUCUCCGAGACAAUCGGCUGCCCUUCUUUUGUCUCACUUGAGGCUAAAUAAGGGCGGGAUUAUGAAUAUGUUGUUAAUUAGUUUAAAUUUCCACCUAUAUGGUUUCGCAUUAGGCGAUUUACACAGUGUAUUCUGUGUAUCCUCGCCUUUGGCGUUUUUCAAUCGACACCGAUCUGGUUUUGUUGCUGCUGUUCUUUGUUGUGCUGUUGUUGCGAAGAGUUUAAUCUUGCCUAGUUUGGGUAGUGGCUACGGUUUGGAUAGCUAAGAUCAAUCUUCAGCAUAAAAGAACAGCAACAAUCAAUCUUUGCAGACUUAUGCAAGAUGGUUCAGCCCAAGUGGUCUUGGUCCAAGAACCUUACUUCCUUAAGGGGAAUUUCUAUCUAGGAAACCUUGUGAACCCGGUGUUUGCUACUUUCAGUAAACAUGAAAUGGCAAACUCGCGUGUCAUGCCUCGAGCCUGUGUGCUUGUCAACAACGCAAUAGUUGCAGCACUCAUCUCUGAACUAACCACCAGAGAUGUAUGUGCUAUCACAAUUGAUGUAUCUGUUGGAAACCUCAACAGGAAAUACGUCUAUUGUUCGGUUUAUUUACCGCAUGAUGAACCAUCCCCUACGGAUGCUUUCAAACAAGUCAUCGCAUACUGUACUUGGCACGGUAAAGGCUGGGUAUGCUGCGCAAUUCAGAUCCCAUUGUGAUCCACUAGCCUCUGCCCAGUAACUCCUGUCCCUACCUCCACGCGGUACCGGCCGGAAACUAUGAGCAACCUUAGGGAAGAUCGGGUAACCAACCCCGGUGGGAACUUUGGUCGUAGGCUGACAGGGAAAGGGGGUUUGCUUCGGCAAACCUGAGCGUCUGUUCUCCAGGAGGAGCGGCUCACAACGGCGUCUGAUCCCCAUGUUAGGGGCGGCUGAUCUACGUCCGAGUGCCAGGGAAGGACUCUAAGCUCAACUGUGCACCAGGGAUGCCAUAUAUUUACAGAUUUAUCUGUAUUAUACAGAUUUUUGGGCAUCCGUACAGAUUUCGUUUUAUAUGAAAUACAGAUUUUUGAGUUAGAGGGGCUAUUUUAAUUUGGUAUGGGAUACAGGUUUUUAGAAAGAGCGAUACAGAUUUAUCAAAAAAUCAUCUGGCAUCCCUGCUGUGCACUAUGGUCCUCCGGAAAGUAGGGGGUUGGUGUCAGGCCAUACGAGCCAACCGUAAAAACCCAUUGAAGCGGAAAAUCAGCGACAGAAUAAUACGAACCGAGACCAACGGCAACGACCCCAGCGAACAAAAAGGACUUGCGAUUGGAAACUCUUUACGUGGAACUGCCGAUCUCUCAAUUUCAUUGGGAGCACCCGCAUACUCGCCGAUCCACUGAAGGACCGCGGGUUCGGCAUCGUAGCGCUGCAGGAAGUGUGUUGGACAGGAUCCAUGGUGCGAACGUUUAGAGGUAAUCAUCAUUGGCGUAUCUAGGAUUUUUUCCUAGGGGGUGCCAGUUUUAGUGGCUUCCAGGUUGUUUUACUUUGUUUUUGCAAAUAGAAUUACCGAUCGACCCUCAUUUUCUUAGUACAAUGAUAUACUGCGUCGCGGGACAAAUUAGCCCGAAAAUUUCAAUGCGUAAUAUUUUAAAGAACAGUUUUUUUUUAAUCCGAACCGUUGUACUGACUUAACACUCUCCCCGCCAUGUGAGGUUUGAGAAUAACUUGAUUACGUAUAAUACAUGGAAUUUGUAUUUUCAGUUUGAACUUUACAAUCAUCACAACCCCUUUGUUUUGUGGAUUGAAUACAUUAAUUAAGAAUACAUUUUCAGAGCUAUUAUUAGAAGUGUAAAUCUCGGAAACUAUCAAAUAUCCACAAAUUUGCAUGUAACUUGUAUUGAUCGUGACAGCAUGAUACCAACCCUUAUAAAAUAGUUUUCAAGAACAAUUGUAAGAGUCUUUUUUUUCUUCAUGUGUGGAAAUUAAGCCACUGCGUCCAAUAAGCUGAACUUUUGUGGCAUUGAAAUUGCAGAAUCAGGAUACAUAUUUGCAUUUUUGGUUUCACCACAACAUUAAUAGCAAACUUUGAUUUUUCUCUUCGGGAUUCUGAUUUAAUGCUAUAAUAUAAUAAAGAAAUAAGUGUUUUCGGCAAAACUUUGUUUCGGUAAUUCCUCAGGGAAUAUUCCCGGCAAUUUAUUUGGAAAUUGUUUUGCAAUUUAUUUGAAUGAAGCCUUCUUUUAGAAAUUAAAAAAAAAGUAAAAAAAAAGGUUUUCCGGAGUACCUUUGCCAAUUUUUUAGUAGUCUUCCAAGCGAUGUUUUGUUAAUGUCAGCAAUUCUAUUGAUAGUCGCUUUUUAAAAUUCUCCAAUUUCUCUUCAGGCAAUAUUUUGAGAAUUCUUUUAGUGAAGCCUUUGGUGAUUCAUUCGACAUUGACUCUGGGAACUUCCUCACAAUUUUUUUUUUGGAAAAAUCUUCGGCAAGUCAUUCUACAUUUUACAUUUUCUUCGGUUUUUUGGAAUUCCAUUAUCUAUGCUUUUAGGUAUUUCUUCACCAAUUCCUUCGAAAACCCCUUCGGAAGUUCUUUUAUAAAUCGCUUCUAUAAUUGAAAUAAAAAUUCUAUGGACAAUUUCUCCUAGAUUUCUUCAGUAAUUAUGUAAGGAAUUCCUGCAGCAGAUGAUUUCGGAACACCUUCGGCAUUUCCGAUGUUACUCGCAUUAAAUGUUCAAAUUUUAUCAGCAAAUCCUUUGGAAAUCUUGGAAACUUCUGUUGUUACUUUAGUAACUUCUUCGGUAAUUCCUUUGGAAAUUGAUUCGACCAUUUUCUUAGAGAUUUUCUUCGGGAAUUUCUUUGAAAAAAAAAUUCUGGCGAUUCUUUAAAAGUUCUGUCACUGCAAUCACUUUUGGAAUUCUUUCUAAUUUUUUUUUCAGAAAUUCCUUUGAUGAUUUCGGAAAAUUCUUUGAGAAUUGUUUCGAAAUUUGUUUGUGAAUGUUUGUGGAAAUUUUUGUAGAAUAUAUUUUGGCAAUGUAUUUUGAGAUUGGAUUCGGCCAAUUUCUUUGAAAAGCCUUACUAUUUUCAUCAGGAAUUCCUCUGGUAGUUCUUACAUGAAUUGUUUUGGCAACUACUUUGAAAGCUCAAAGGUAAUUUUGAUGGAUUUUUUUCCGGCAAUUUCUUUUGGAAUUUGUCAGGAAAUUUUUCGUAAAUUUCAUAGGAUUUUUUUAAGCAAGUCCAGUUGAGAAUUUCUGAAUUUCCAGUUUAGCAAUUUUCGGAAGCAAUAAAUUUAAAUACAAUUAAAUCAUAAGGAUGCAAUCACGAUAAAAUUGCCUGAGAAAUUUGCAAAAUAACUGAAAAAGAAAUUUUUAAAACAAUGUCGGAGGAACAGCCAUUGGCAUAUAAAAAAAAUCAAAAGAAAUUGUUUAUUGCAUUCCAAAGAAACGUAAUUAACGUAAUUGCUUCUCUAACUUAAGAUUGCAUAAGAGUGGUUUUUUCCUCUCCUAUAAAGCAAAAAUGUUUGUAGGGUUCCAAUGAAACAACAGUCAGGUUUUCUUUUUACGCGGGGGAUACCUACGUACCGCGUAAAAAUAAAACUCAGUUCAAAAUUCAAAAAACCGCGUAAAAAAAGUUUCACCAUUUCUCGACGAAUCAUGCAAAAAUAAGACGAUGAAUUUUUUUUUUGUAUGGAGUUUUCAUUCACGCGGCCGCGUAAAUGAAAACCGCGUAAAAAAAGACCUGACUGUACCGUAGAAAUUAAAAAAAAAAAAACAAAAAUGCCGAAGUAACCCAAAGAAAUGGCCAUACUGCGGUUUAGCAAAUACGGAGCCGUGUGUUCUCGAAUCCCACCAGAACGCGAUUCUUUCUCCACAAAUUCAUCUCUCAUUUUGACAAUUAGCAACAUUCUGUGCCUUCUAAUUAAUUACAAAUUUAAAAAAAAACCCGUACAUUCCUAUAGGAUUUCACUUAACCGAUAAGUUUGCGUGGCGUUAAUAAAAAUUACAAUUACAAUUGCUAAGGAUUUCUCUGGAAAUUCCAACUAUUCCCAAAAUUCGUUUAGGGAUUCCUCUAGAGAUUUCUAUUCGGAUUCCUUCAGCUAGAAUUCCUUGAAGAAGGCCAAAAGAAGUACCAGGUUUAAUAUCAUGAUUAAUUUCUAGGUAAUCCAUAAAUUCCUGGAUGAGUCUUUAGAAAAAUCCAUGGAAGAAUCAAAGGCAUUUCUGGAAAUAUCCUAGAAAAACUGGCUAGAAGAAUCCCGGCAAGAAUUCCAGCAGAAAUUUCAAGAGAGAUUCCUGCAGGUAUCCCAGUAAGAAUUCUGGAGGAGACCUAGGAGGCAUUCCUGAAACAUUAGAAGCAGCAGGAAUCAAUCGCUUAUGGAAUCCUAAGAGGAGUUCCUGGAGAAGUCCAACAAGUAAUAUUUGGAGAAAUCCCAGAUUUUUUUUUAAGAUUUCCAGGAGGACACACCUAACUAGGUACUUCUGCAAGACUCCUAGGAAGAUUGUCUUGAAUAAUCCCAGCAACUUUUUUAGGAAUCACUGGAGAAAUUAUUAGAAGAAUCCGUAGAAGAAUUCUGGGAGGUAUUAGAAUGACUGGAGAAGUCCUAGGAGGAAUUGCUGGAAGAACCACAGCAGGAAAAGCUUGAGCUGAAAAUUCUGAAUGAUGGCCAAGAGGAGUUCCUGUAGGAAUCCCAUGGGAAAUUUACGAGAGAAUCCGUGAACUAAAUAUCUUGGAUAAAACACCCUGGAAGAAUCACCGGAGAGUUUCUGAAGAAAUCACAGGAAAAACCUCAGGAGAUAUUCUUAGAAGGAUUAUGGGAUUUAUCACUGUAAAAACCUCAGCUGAAAUCCUAGAAGAAAUUUCUGGUUUAAACUGUUCAGGAAUUUCUAGAGAAACUCCAUCAGUAAUGCCAGGGAGAAUCCAAAGAAAAAAUCCUUGGAAUACAUAGAGAAGUUCCUGCAAGAACCGGUAAAGGUAUUCUGGAAGAAUCUAUAGAGAAGGCGCUGAAGGAAUCGCAGGAAAAUUUUCUGAAAGAAUCUCAGGAAGAAUGUCACCCAUAAUGCUAUGAUAAAUUCGUAUAAGAAUCACUAGGAAGAAUUUCUGGAGGAAUUGAUGGAAGAAUUAUAGGAGGAGUUGUUUGAAGUAUUCUUGGAGGAAGGCCAAAAAGAGUUUCUGCAGGAAUUCCAUGAGGAUUUUCUGGAUAAAACUUUGGAUAAAAUCUCUGGAGGAAUUCCUGGAUGAGUCCUUGGAGAAACCUCUGGAGGAGCAACCAAAGGAAUUUUCGCAAGAAUUCCAGGAAGAUUGCCUGGGAAGGUCUCAGCAAAAAAGCCAGGAGAAAACUCUAGAAGAAUCCGUAGCAUAAUUAUGGAAGUACCGUAAAACGGGGUAUCAUUGAUCAGCGGGGUAGCAUUGAUCGGCUUGACCGACCUCAAACAAACAAAUAUUUUACAUUGAAUCAGUUUCUGCUAUUGAAUGAUAUAUCGUAAUCUGCUAUUAUUUAGCUAUAAAAUGACAUGUAAUUCAUGAAAAUUGAAAUUUAUAAACAUUGAAAUAAAUCGAUUUUUCCAUAAUUGUGUUUCGUAACGCAAUGAGAUACAUUGUCAAACAUUCAUGCAUGGCAUGAAUACUAGAUACAAUAAGAACUCCGAAAUCACUGUAUUACUUCAAUACGAUAUCCUAGAGUUGUAUUUAAUAAACGAAACUUUUAUGCUCUUUUUCAAUAAAAUAUACGAUUUAUCAAAAUUAGACUAUCAAUUCCUGAAGCCAUUGCCUACCUUUAGACGUUAUUCGCGAUUUGAAGGAUUUUAAUCCUAAAAUAACUCAAAAAGUACAUAGCUUGUAAGAAUUUGGACAACAUAUUCGAAAUCAGCGAUCCCGAAUUUAGUAAGUGUAUUUUUAAUACAAACAAACAUAGAUCACUUACAUGAUCAAUGUUACCACAAAUCAACAAAAUCAAAAAUUAAAUUAAAAAGCUCAUUUAAACAUGCUUUAAAGAUUUACAAUACUUUUUCGAAUAGCUUACCGCAUACUCAGAGGGCCGGUACUUGUUUUAAAAAUAUAAAACAUGUUACGUUUACUUUAACACGAGAAUGUUACCCCGGAUUACGGUAUCACAGUUAGAAUUUCUGGAGGAAGAAUAGCUGGAAUAACCGCAAUUACUUGAACAGUCACACCUGGAAUAUCUGGCGGAAUUUUUAGAAUUCCAGGAGGUAUCAUAGAAGUAAUUUCUAGAGAAAUCUUUUACAAUGCCAGGGGUAUAAGAAGUUCUUCUAACAAAUGCCUGGAGGAAUACCUACAGUUCUCCUUGAAAGAAUCGGUAGAAGUAUACUGGAGGAAACCCUGAUGGAAUCGCAGGAGUAAUUUCUGGAGGAAUCUCAGGAAGAUUUCCCAAAAGUAUUGCAGCAAGUAAGUAUCCCAGGAGAAGUAUUUCUGAAGGAAUCCUAAUGGGAGUUGCUUGAAGAAUUCCAAUUGAAAUUCAUGGAGGAAGGUCAAUAGAAAUUCUUGGGGAAAUCCCUUGUGGAAUUUCUGGAAGAAUCUCUGUAGAAAGUCCUGGAUAUAUCCUUGAAGAAAUGUAUGGAAGAAUCAAUGAAGGGAAUUUAUAGAAAAAUCUCAGCGAGAUCUUCCGGAAGAACUUUGCUAGUAGAAUUGCAGAAGGUACCACAGUGAGAAUUUUUAGAGGAGAGACAUUGCUGGAACAAUCGCAGCAGGAGUUGCUUGAGGAAUCCUAGCCACAAUUCCAGGAGGAAGGUUAAUAUAAGCGCAUGGAGGAAUUUCAUAAGGGAUUUCUGGAAGAAUCUCUGAAUGAAAUCUCUGGAAGAAUUCGUGGAAGAAUCACUGGAGGAACUUCUGAAAGGAUCCCAGGAAGAUUGCUUGAAUAACUCCAACAGAAAUUCCUGAAGAAUUCCGAGAAAAAUCAUAGUAAGAAUUUCCAAAGAAAUCCUAGCAGAAUUUGCUGGAUCAAUCUCUGCAGAAAUUUCCUGUUUGUACAACCCCAUCAUGACUGCCUAGAGUCAAGGGAAGUUUAUUGAAGAAAUAUCGCGAGGAAUCCAUAAAGGAAGCCUAUUGAAAUCACUGUAUGAAUAGAUAGAGGUAUUUCUGGAGGAAUCUAUGUAGAAGUCUGUUAAAUGUUCUUACCAAUAUCCAUAACGCCAAAACGUGCAACAGUUAUAUAAGUAAUUCCGGGUGUGCUUAGGUUUUGUUCAAAUGCGAGUUCAAAUGUGCCAUUCAUAAAUAUUAGAAUUAUUGUGUGAAGUUUUUAAUUUUAGGUGACUGUCAAGGAAAAAUUCUAGGGGGUGCCAAAUAUGUUCUAGGGGGUGCCAGGCACCCCUGGAACCCCCCCUAGCUACGCCAAUGGUAAUCAUACCAUUCACCAGAGAUGCGGCAACACACGCGAGCUGGGAACAGCUUUCAUCGUGAUGGGUGAUAUGCAGAGGCGCGUGAUCGGUUGGAGGCCGAUUGUCGAAAAAAUGUGCAGGUUGAGGAUCAAGGGCCGAUUCUUCAACUUCAGCAUAAUAAACGUGCACAGCCCACAUUUCGGAAGUACUGAUGAUGACAAGGACGUAUUUUACGCGCAGCUCGAACGCGAGUAAGAUCGCUGCCCAAGCCAUGACGUCAAGAUCAUCUUGAGAAGAUUUGAAGGCUCAGGUAGGCCAGGAGGAGGAAUUCAGACCGACUAUUGGUAAGUUCAGCGCCUACCAGCAGACGAACGAAAACGGCCUACGACUCAUUGAUUUCGCCGCGGUAAUGUUGCAGCAAGGGACUCGACAGAACGUGGAACGUUACAAACAGAAUCGGAAACAGCAGACCCGCCUCUUUCGGGAGAAAAAGCGCCGCCUGGAAGAAGCGGAGUGUGAAGAAAUGGAACUGCUGUGCCGUUCCCAAGUGUGGUACCUUGUGGUAUGCACAUAAUAAAUUAUUGUAUUACUCUAUUACGUUUAGCGUGUAUGUUUACAUUGAGUAUCUGUCAUAUGUGGAGAUGUUGUUAUUGUUGUCUAGAGUGUGAAUCAUUGUAUGUAAUAUUGAAGUAUCGGUAAUAAAGUGUAUACAAAUAAUGAAUACAGUUGUUGAAUAAUCACUACAGAGAAAGAUUCUCACAUUGGCGACGAGAACGGUGAACAGUGCAUGUGAAAUUAGUUUAAUUUCGGUUCGGGAAGUGUUGUCUUUGGAAAAAGAAAGAGAUGAGUGGUGUGUGUGUGGUGCAUGCAGAGUGGUGAUGACCUCCAGGUGAUGACUUGUGAUUGAAUUUCAACAUUGGAAUCAAAAAGGUACAACCACAAGUAACGGCCAAGUAAUUUACCAAAAUGCCGAGCAGAGAUGGAUGACCAAAUGGAUGAAUGUACUUCUAAUUUUGAUGUGAGACUGAAGCGAGACGUUUAUAAACUGAGGAGACUAUAAGCGAAACAACGUGGAGUGACCUUGCUGCGGAUCUGGAGAAAAAACGAGAUGUGGUACCUUGUGGUAUGCACAUAAUAAAUUAUUGUAUUACUCUAUUACGUUUAGCGUGUAUGUUUACAUUGAGUAUCUGUCAUAUGUGGAGAUGUUGUUAUUGUUGUCUAGAGUGUGAAUCAUUGUAUGUAAUAUUGAAGUAUCGGUAAUAAAGUGUAUACAAAUAAUGAA